rnacentral:rRNA from 1 species
GGAUGAGUCUGCGUACCAUUAGCUAGUAGGCGGGGUAAGAGCCCACCUAGGCUACGAUGGUUAGCGGGUCUGAGAGGAUGAUCCGCCACACUGGAACUGGAACACGGACCAGACUCCUACGGGAGGCAGCAGUGAGGAAUUUUGCGCAAUGGGGGCAACCCUGACGCAGCGACGCCGCGUGGGUGAUGAAGGCUUUCGAGUCGUAAAGCCCUGUCAAGUGGGAAGAAACGUUGACGUAUGAAUAGUGCGUCAAUUUGACGGUACCGCUAAAGGAAGCACCGGCUAACUCCGUGCCAGCAGCCGCGGUAAUACGGAGGGUGCAAGCGUUGUUCGGAAUUACUGGGCGUAAAGGGCGCGUAGGCGGCGCUGUAAGUCAGAUGUGAAAGUCCACGGCUCAACCGUGGAAGUGCAUCUGAUACUGCAGCGCUUGAGUAUCGGAGGGGAAAGUAGAAUUCCCGGUGUAGAGGUGAAAUUCGUAGAUAUCGGGAGGAAUACCGGUGGCGAAGGCGACUUUCUGGACGAAUACUGACGCUGAUGCGCGAAAGCGUGGGGAGCAAACAGGAUUAGAUACCCUGGUAGUCCACAGCUGUAAACGAUGUGCACUAGAUGUUGGGGGUGUUGACCCCUCCAGUGUCGCAGCAAACGCAUUAA